rnacentral:rRNA from 1 species
AGCAGCCGCGGUAAUUCCAGCUCCAAUAGCGUAUAUUAAAGUUGCUGCAGUUAAAAAGCUCGUAGUUGAAUUUCGGGACURAUAUGUCGGUCGUGCCUCGGUACGUACUGGUAUUUUUGGUUUCUCCCUUCUGACGAACCUUGAUGUCAUUAAUUUGGUGUCUUGGGAAAUCAGGACUGUUACUUUGAAAAAAUUAGAGUGUUUAAAGCAGGCUCACGCUUGAAUACAUUAGCAUGGAAUAAUGAAAUAGGACGUUUGAUUCUAUUUUGUUGGUUUCUAGGAUCGACGUAAUGAUUAAUAGGGAUAGUUGGGGGCAUUAGUAUUCAAUUGUCAGAGGUGAAAUUCUUGGAUUUAUUGAAGACUAACUACUGCGAAAGCAUUUGCCAAGGAUGUUUUCAUUAAUCAAGAACGAAAGUUAGGGGAUCGAAGACGAUCAGAUACCGUCGUAGUCUUAACCAUAAACUAUGCCGACUAGGGAUCGGAUGA